UGAGGCACAGGAAGUGAGGUGGAGAACAGACUCUGGAGUUCACUCACUUCCUGUGGACAGGGCUAGAGUCAGUUAGAUUCUGGAGCUCGAGCUGGGAGGAGGCCCACAGACAGCUUUCCUUCAAAUCAGUCAUGGGAAAAGUCUUUAACCAGAUGAGAUCAUAGUAUUACCAUGAUAUUAAUUGAUGAUAGCAUGAAGAGAAGGGAUAAGGAGAGGUGAGAGGAGACUACUGAACAGAUCUCUGAAGGAAGUCACAAAUUCCAAAAAGUGGACAUGAGGAAGGAGAGUAUUCCAGGUAUUCUUCAGCAGCAAUUGACCUCUACUUAUCCACUUCACCUGGUUCAUGUAUUUUGAAGCUAAUAGUAAGCUAAAAAAUGCAGAAGAGAAGAAAAAGAAAUAUGAACAGUUGUUGAAUAAUUCCUACAAAGGAAAGUUUAAAUACCUGGAAAGUUACAUCUACAGAAAUCAAGAUUCGUCCCUUCUGAAAGAAAUGUCAGGAGUAUGGGUGCCAGAUGAUAAGACUUGAGCAAACUGUGAUGUCCCAUAUAUCUUUUUAUCUACCAUGAGACCAAGCAUGGCGACUUGGACCUAGAGAUGGUCAGUAAAUAUUUCUGAAUGAAUGAAACUCUCACCACUCAGAAUAUGAACUUUUUGACUCUUUCUAUCUGGAAAGUUCUGUGUUCUAAAGCUAAAAUGUUAAAUGUACUAAAUUCAGACAAUAAAUUCUUAGUAUCAAUAUUUAAAACA
rnacentral:lncRNA from 1 species